GGGUGUUAGAGAUCAUCACCCAGUCAGGGGUCAGGAAAGGAUGAAGCAGAGACUGCUGAACCUGUUUGUGGAUCCCAUGAACCUGCUGCUGUGCACACCACCAGUCUGCUGGUCUCCAGACAGGGGCUCUGUGCCCCGGCACCUGGCCAGCUUGCCCUGAAAACCCUGAGAUGCUCAAGCCCCCUUCACAACAAAGGGGCCUAAGAGGCAGCAAGACCCUGGAUUGACGGACAGAAGGAGGCCUGCUGCUGUUGCUGCUUAAGACUUGCUGCUUCUCUACUUUGCUGCUUGCUGCCUUCUCCUUGGCAUGAACUGUUUCGCCUCUGUGAUGCCCCUCUGCCAUGCUACCGUGCCUUGAAGCCAGCCAACUAUGAACUGAAGCCUCUACAAACUGUGAGAAUUAACGUUCCAGGCCUACAGAAAGAUUUGUUCAGAUCUUUACAAGGAAUAUGAAGACAGCCCCUUUGGAUGGAAGUCUUCAGUGAAACUGAUUUGUGCUCCAGGCUCCAGAAGAGGCAGGAAUCUGGGUGCUCUGGCUGUGAAGGUUCCACAUCCCCAGCACCUGCAGCACUGCAAGAGCCUCUCUACCAACACAGGCAGAUUCUUUGGAGAACAUAUAUGUCAAAUGCCUCUUAAUCCAGUCCCACAGCUAGCGAAACCAGUAGGGCUCCCACCAGAUUUCCUGUGAAUUAGAGGAGAAUGAAAAGCCAAGUUGAAAACAUCACCACCAUUGAGACCAUGAUAAGAUGGCACCAUCAUGAGGUAGGAGCCAGUUUCCAACGGGGCCUUUGCUGUGGAGAGAGACCUUGUUCCAAGCCAAUACCUGAGCUUCUGCCAGUCCAACCAAAUGCACUGAAGGAAUGGGAUGAGGGAUUCAGGAAAGCAAAGCUGACAGAUGGCAAUUUGUGAAGAGUUGAAUCAACGUAAAUUAUAUCUCAUCAGUGAGCAGAGAGAAGGGAGGACGUGUUCCAAGGUUGGGCAAAUGACUGAGAGGCGAG
rnacentral:lncRNA from 1 species